rnacentral:rRNA from 1 species
GGAACGGAGACACGGGGGAGACGCCGGCGGGAGGCAGCAGGGGGGAAGAGGGCACAAGGGGGGAAACCCGGAGGCAGCCAGGCCGCGGGAAUGAAGAAGGCCUUCGGAUUGUAAAAUAC